rnacentral:tRNA from 1 species
GAGGGUAUAGCUCAGUGGUAGAGUGUGUGCCCAGCAAGCAUGAGGUCCUGGGUUCAAUCCCCAGUGCCUCCA